GGGCGCCGCUUCGCGCCCUCGGCUUCCAGCCUCCGCUCGCCUUAAGGCCUCACGCACCUCUGCAACUUCUGAGACGCUAAAGUUUGUCGUCGCGACGAGGCGCGCGGCCCCAGGAAGCGGAGCUGAAAGGACAGGCUGGUCCAAGGACUAUCCUGAUGCUUCUGACAAGGCUGUUAUUUGGAGAGAUGAUCACCCCAAAGAUGACUUCGGAAAAAGUCAACAGCCAUGGGGGAACAUGUGAUCUUGACCUCAUCCAUGAAGUCUGUCCCAGUGCUGAACAGUCUGGCAGAGUGGGCUAUUGAAAAGUCUCCAGGCCUGGUUGGGAGCUCCAGAACCCAGUAUCGGCGUCCCAGGUGUGCCUUGGGAGUUUCAGCGCUGUGCUGUAGGAGAGUUGGCCUGCACCUAGGGAUCAUACCACCAGGCUUCAUCUCCCAGUGUUUCUAAUAAUGUCAACUACCAGGUGGCCACUAGGGGGCACCAGACUCCUAUGCGAGGCUCUUUCUACACCUGACAGCUGAGAUCUGCUCACCUCCCAGUCCUCGCCCAAUAGCUCAUAUUCCCUUACUGUAAGCCCAGACUUGCCCUUUCUCUUUCCCAGGAAUCACCAACUAAGGCUAUUUAGUUCUGUGCAAAUUGCUCAAGAAUAUCUCCUCAGGGCUCCUUUUCUUAAAGUAAUUAAACUUAUGGGGUUAGAUGGAACUGUUCCUUUCCUCCCCACCUCCCAUUCCAAAACCUGUUAGAGCCCCUCUAACUCAGAGAAUAUUCAUGCAAUACUUCCUUCCCAUAACUGCCAGCCCCACCGCCUGAAGGACUGAAGCUGGUUCAGUCCCCAGCCACUUGGCCUAGAAAGGGCUGCCUCUGCAGGAUGUCCCACAGGUGAGGACUAGCUAGCUUCAGCAACUCCAAGGCAGCUUCAUUGUUCUGCCAAGAGCCGGAAAUGCAGCAUUCAACGCUCUUGGGUGUGCAAAAUCGGGAAGUCAACAGGACCCGCUAGCAGCCUGUCCUACUGCCGCCGAGCGCCCAUUGUUCCAUUAGUCUUUUCAUUACCACCCAGCCAACUGCUGUCCGACUUCUUGAUCAAACAACAAUGUCUUGAGUUUAAAUUUUAUUUUACAAAAAGAGAAAUAAAGAAAACUGAUAGGCAGUUAUACUGA